rnacentral:rRNA from 1 species
UACAGAGGUCCCAAGCGUUGUUCGGAUUCCCUGGGCGUAAAGGGUGCGUAGGUGGUGAGAUAAGUCGGAUGUGAAAUCUCGGAGCUCAACUCCGAAAUGGCAUUGGAAACUACCUCGCUCGAGGAUUGGAGGGGGGACUGGAAUACUUGGUGUAGCAGUGAAAUGCGUAGAUAUCAAGUGGAACACCAGUGGCGAAGGCGAGUCCCUGGACAAUUCCUGACACUGAGGCACGAAAGCUAGGGGAGCAAACAGG